rnacentral:misc_RNA from 1 species
UGGAUGAUUAAAUCCAAAAUGUGCAAUAAGAAAAUCACCUGUUGUAAAACUGAAGACACAAAAAAGUAUUAUUGUUUCCUUUCCUAUGAUGAAACAUUGUUUAUAUAUUUAUAAAUUCCAUUUUAUUUUUUCUCGUUCUCUCUCCUGAAAAAUGAAAUUUAUCAAGAGUUAUCCUUCCUGAUCCAACACGUUCAUUACAGUACAUUUCGUCCGUUAUACGUACCUCACCUCAUUUUGGUUGUGUUUGAUUAAUUAAGCAAACAUUUUUUGUUGGAUGUUAGAGUUUCAUAUUUACGUUACAUUUUUUUUUCAUUUUACGUAUAGCAUAUUUGUUAAUAUUUCAUUAAGUUAUUUAUAAGAAAGACGACUUGUCUCCAUAACAACCGUGCCUUUUGCGUCAGCUUACGUUGACCCGUUGACCUUGCCGCGUCAUAAUCAUAGACAGUGUGACAAGGUGCUUAUUUGUUUCUCCCAUUUUCGUUUCACAGGGAGAUGGAAACUGUCUUUAUACCAUAGAAAUUAUUUUUAAAGUAAAUGUUAAAGUAAUGUCAACGAUACCGGUAUAUUUAUAAUUGUUUGAAAUAAUUGUAUCUCUUCAAAUUUUUAACCCUCUUUGAAUUUGUCGUUGUCAUGGAGACUCGUCUGCUGAGCAGGAUAUUUAGUCGCCGUGCCUACAGUAGCCAUGGAUAUACGUUUUAUACACCACCUUUUUGUUGCUACCAUAGAUGAACCUUUUUGGUGCAUGAAAUAAACAAACAAAAACU